rnacentral:misc_RNA from 1 species
AAGCACAGUAUAAUGUCAUUGCGCCAAUUUAUUCAAUAGAUUAACAUAACAUAGCAGAAACCUUUACAUGUACUAGCAGCUUGUCGAAAAAAAAGCAUGCAUAUAUGAGUUUUGCACAGCCCAUAUUGUAACUUGACAUGUCGCUAAACUACAUUAGUUCUCAGUUAUCUCACCACAAUCAUCGAUUAAGACAGGGCAUGAUGUUUUCCCACUAUCUGAACCAACCUUUUCCAUUGCCUCGACAACAUUAUAGCCAUCAACAACCUUCCCAAACACGACGUGUUUACCAUCAAGCCAAGGUGUUGCUACUGUGGUGAUAAAGAAUUGAGAUCCAUUGGUGUUUCGUCCAGAAUUUGCCAUUGAAAGAAGGCCAGGUAUAGUAUGCAUCACACUGAAGUUCUCAUCAGCAAAUUUAGUACCAUAUAUAGAUUCUCCACCAGUCCCAUUUCCUCUGGUGAAAUCUCCACCCUGACACAUGAACUGUGGAAUGAUUCGAUGAAAACCCGACCCCUUGUAAUGUAAUGGCUUCCCUAACUGCCCGAUCCCUUUCUCCCCCGUACACAGAGCUCGAAAGUUCUCAGCAGUUUUAGGAGUCUUAUCUUUAAACAGCUCCAUUACAACUCUCCCAGCUUUGGCAUUGCCAAUCAAUAUAUCAAAGAAAACCUUCGGAUUCUUCGCCAUUGUCACUUCUAAACCUUUAGAUGCAGAAGAAGAAUUUUGCAGGCUUGAAGAGAAAUGGCGUAGGGUUUAUCAGAU